UACAGAGGUCCCAAGCGUUGUUCGGAUUCAUUGGGCGUAAAGGGUGCGUAGGCGGCUCGGUAAGUCGGGUGUGAAAUCUCGGAGCUUAACUCCGAAACUGCAUUCGAUACUGCCGUGCUUGAGGACUGGAGAGGAGACUGGAAUUUACGGUGUAGCGGUGAAAUGCGUAGAUAUCGGAAGGAAGACCAGUGGCGAAGGCGGGUCUCUGGACAGUUCCUGACGCUGAGGCACGAAGGUCAGGGGAGCAAACGGG
rnacentral:rRNA from 1 species